rnacentral:rRNA from 1 species
GACAGAGGUGCCGAGCGUUAGGCGGAAUCACUGGGCUUAAAGCGUGUGUAGGCGGAUCGUUAAGUACCUUGUGAAAUCCCACGGCUCAACCGUGGAACUGCUUGGUAUACUGGCGGUCUUGAGCCAGCUAGGGGCUACCGGAACAAAUGGUGGAGCGGUGAAAUGCGUAGAUAUCGGGAGGAACACCGGUGGCGAAGGCGGUUCUCUGGGCCUGUACUGACGCUGAGGAGCGAAAGCGUGGGGAGCGAACAGG